rnacentral:rRNA from 1 species
AUGUCCUUAGUGUCUAUGUUUAAUUUCCUGCCGGCCAAUCCUUCAAUCCCAGUACUUGAGCCGGUUAGGUCUGGCAUCAAAAACAAGAUUCUUGUUGAGGAUAUAGUGCCAUGUGACUCUCAUGGUUUGCAGAAAAUAUUUUGCAAGCCAGGUGAGGUUGGACGACUGAAACCAGCCUUUUGGAGUAUUCUCAGCAAGGCAAGGGAAUCUGGAGUUGACCUGAAGAAUCUUUCAACCCAUGGAAGCUACAUUCUGAGCUCUCAUUUUGAUAAGUCCACGUAUAAUACCGUGCUAUCAUUUCUUGGUGUUAAAAGUGUGAGCACUGAAUGGUACGCCAAAUGUAUCGAGGGCUCUAAUCUUGUCAAGGGGGUAAAUGAACAGAUUUAUCUGGAAGUUUUAUCCUUUGUCGCCGACAAUUGGCAGAACUGUUUCUCCGGUACAAACAUGAUGUCUAUUCCCCUGCUAAAGUAUGUUGAUCGGAACAAUGCCCUCUCUUUCUGGAGCAUUUCUCGAGCUACUCAACGGAGUGACAGAUUGUGCAUUGCAUCUGAGAAGAAGUGCAUACCUUGGCUUAUCAGCUGGAACCGGGAGUUCACAUCUUCUAACCGCCUUUUUGUACCUCCCAGCACACAGGAAGCACUACAAAACUUUGCGCAGAGAACAGCAGUGACACAGUGGCUUCAGAGCUAUGCAAAAGUGGAGGCUGUGUCUGUCUAUAGUCAUGGACUGGCUGUCGUUAAUUCCUUGAACUGUGAUAGGAGGCCUGCUAUUGCUUUUGCUCACUUUCUGUACCAGUCGGCUAAGAAGGGUCACAUCGAGAGCUACCACUUAGAAGAACUGUGUCGCGCCAUGCCGGUAAUCGACAGCUAUGGCAGUGUGAUCAAGACAAGAAGCAGCGUUCUCAUUCUAGUUCCUGCGAAGGGCAGUAAAUGGGUAGGAUUGAUGGGCACGAACCCAUGGGGGAACCAGAACUACAUUGAACUAUCGGCAGAUUACAAGUCGGCAGACAGUUACGCUGGGAUCUAUGCACCUGAAGACCAGCUCUUGGCUUUCCUGAAGACACAACUGCCGGCUUCAGACAUUCCGUUCAUACACCCUCCAGACGCAAGCUUUCCUACAGUUUCAUCGCCUCUAACCGUUGACAAUGCAAUCUUGCUUUUGCAGUGGAUACAGAAUCUCAAGUCAAGAAGGGUACAUUUACCGGCUAGAUUUCUGGCUUGUGUAAAACAGGGAAGUUGGCUGAGAACAUCAGCUGGGUACAAGCCAUCGAAUGAAUCAUUUCUGUCCAGUUCUGAGUGGGGAGUUCUUUUACAAAGUGGAUCUUCCUUUGUUGACAUUCCAAUGAUUAACCAAAAGUUUUAUCAAAACAAGCUGCACUUGUACAAGGAGGAACUCAAGGCGAUUGGAGUUAGAUUUGAAUUUCAGGAGGCAUCAGCGUACAUUGGCAGCCGCCUCAUGUCUAUGGCUGCAACCAAUACGCUGACCAGAGAGAAUGUGUACUCACUGCUUCGGCUGAUUCGGUUUCUUCGAGAGAAAGUUCUGUCUCCUAGGGAACUCAUCAACAGUGUCAAAGAUGGGCAAUGGAUGAAGAGUACUCUUGGCUACAGGUCUCCGGUUGGUUGUAUCAUCUAUGAUUCAGACUGGGCAGUUGCAUCCUGUAUCAGUAGCCAGCCAUUCCUUGAUGUCAAGUUCUAUGGAGAGGACAUCCUUACCUACAAACGAGAGCUCCAGUUGCUUGGUGUUCUUGUUGGAUUUGAAGACAGCUACAAACUUGUGAUUGAGAAUUUCAAGUUCAGUUCGGCUGCUGUUACUCCUGAGGCUACUGUACUAAUCCUCAAAUGUAUCCGGCAUGUGAGCUCAUGCGACGCCUUCAUACGAAAGCUCAAAGGUUUGAAAUGGGCGAAGACCAGCGUGGGGUUCCGUGCUCCUAAUGAGUCUUUUCUUGUGGAUCCUCGAUGGGAGUGCCUUCUAAAGGUUUUUGAUGGGGUUCCUGUAGUUGAUUUCAGAUUUUAUGGGAGUAAGAUUAGUCCCUACAAAGAAGAGUUGGAGAAGACUGGGUUGAUAACAAAAUUGGAGGCGGCAUCGAAGGCUAUCUCUCACUUGUUUGAGCAGAUGGUUCUGAACUCAUCACUUCCAAAGGCGAGUGUCCUAGCUCUGCUAGCAUGUUAUCGGCAGCUGAAAACACAGGGCGCACUUCCCGUCGAGCUCUUGAGUUGCAUGUUGAAUGAGAAGUGGUUGUGCACAUCGUUGGGUUUCAGAUCCCCCAAAGAUGCAAUCUUGUUUAAUGCAGAAUGGAAGUCUCUAUCAUCAGUAGCAAACUUACCUUUCAUAGAUGAUGGUGACUCUAACCACGGUUUAAGCAAGGAAAUACAUGGUUAUAAAGAUGAGCUCAAGUUGCUUGGUGUUACAACUGAAGUGAAAGCUGGUGCUAGGUUUGUCAUCAAUGACAUCAACAUUCCCAAGGAGCCUUUACACAUGUCUGCGGCUACUGUCUUGUCAUUGCUCGGGUCCAUCCAGAGCUGGUUAGGUUCUUCAAGUAACUUCCCAAAGGGCUUUCUAGAGAAAAUCAAAGGCUGCAGUUGGUUGAGGACAAAAGUGGGGUUCCGAUGUCCUGAUGAGUCGAUCCUGUUUGAUCCAAAGAAUUCUUCCAUUCGCAUAGAAGAUGGCCCUUUCAUUGAUGAAGCAUUCUAUGGCUCGGAGAUAGCCUCAUUCAGAGACGCCCUUGCGGCAAUCGGAGUAUCUGUGGAUGUUAGACACGGACAUGAGCUUGUUGCUCGGCAUCUGAAAAGCCACAAAAACAGGGCUACUAUUUCUCGUAUUUACACGUACCUUAAGGAGUGCAAUUGGGAGCCUGCAAACAAGACGAGUAAUUGGGUCUGGAUACCAAAUAAAAAGAAAAGUGGAGAGUGGGUGAGCCCUCUGGGUUGUGUUCUUCAUGAUAAGGACAACCUUUUCAGCCUGCAGCUGCAUGUCUUGGACAAAUAUUAUGACAAGAAGUUGCUGGACUUCUUUUCACAUGUUUUCGGUGUGAGGAAUGGUCCUAGCGCUGAAGAUCAUUGCAAACUAUGGAGCACAUGGGAGAGCUCUGUCGAUGCGCUAUCUGUAGCUGACUGCUCUGCUUUCUGGCAGUUCAUUGCUAAGAACUGGAGCAGAAACACGGAGAAGCUUCUUUCUGCUUGUGUCAAGGUUCCGGUUUUUACUGACGGGACUAUCGUUCUGUCGAAGAAGGAGGAUGUGUUUAUUCCUGAUGAUUUACUUCUCAAGGAUUUGUUCGACAAGCUUCCUAACCGGUCAUUGUUCAUAUGGUAUCCAUCUUCAAGCCUGCCUUCCAUGUCUCGAGCAAAGCUGAACAACAUCUACGGUAGCAUUGGAGUCCAGGCAAUAUCCAAAGCUGUUGGGAAGAAUGAUUCACUCACAUUGGAAAAUGUCAGUCCAACAAAAGCUGCUCGGGGUAAGGUGAUCAAUGUUGGUAUGAUCAAACUGGUCCUUGCUUUUCUUUCCGAUCCUGCUCUCGACAUUUCUGCUGAAGAGCGGCACAAGAUAGUUUCCUGCCUUCUCGAUGUGACGGUGCUAGAGACCAGUGAGCCAAUCACGGUGGGAUACAGCGUGAAGCUAUCCUCUGGGGCCGUUUUGGAUGUGAAGGCCACACGGAAGCUCCGGUGGGAGAGGGAGAGCUCAAAACUCUACAUGCAGAAAAGCAAGCGUGCACCAGGCUACAAGGAGAAGUUGGAGUUCGCGACGAACUUUGCGGAUGAGAUAUCCCAGGGGCUGCUCUUCGAGAAGGCAGAUCAGAUCCCUUUGCUCGCGGAGCUCAUUAAAAUCGGUAGCUUGAUGGGCUUCCACGCUGCCGCUGUCGAGUACCUUCUGAAAUCAAAAAAUCUGCAGCUGUUCCCUGAAGACGAAGAAUUCCUUAACACUGCAUCGCUAGGUCUGUGA